GUGCAGCAUGUGCUGUGUGUGUACUGGAGACUACUGGAGUGUGCAGGAGGUUUUUGUACGGCUGCUUAAUCAGUCUGUAUCACUGUGGUACACUUUUGGUGGAGGAACCAGACUGGCUGUUGGAAGUGACAGGCGCCCCAGGCUGACGCUGCUUCCCCCCUCCAGUGUGGAGCUGCAGCAGGGGAAGGCCACCCUGGUGUGCCUGGCCACCAAGGGCUUCCCCUGGGACUGGAGGCUGAGCUGGAAGGUGUCCGGGAGCAGCUUGGAGGGGAGCCAGAGCCCUGCUCUCCUGGAGAAGGACGGCCUCUACAGCUGGAGCAGCAGCCUCACCCUCACCCAGGAGCAGUGGAGGAAGCAGCCAGCCGUCACCUGUGAGGCCACCCAGGGCACCCAGCAAGCCGUCACCCAGCACAUCAACACGGGGGACUGUGCCCACUAGAGGAGCAGCACACACACACACACACACACGUGCUUAUAGAGAGAUAGAGACAGCACACACACGCUUACAGAGAGAUAGAGACAACACACACACGCACAUACACACACGUGCGCACACACACACACGCUUACAGACACAGCAUACACACAUACUUAAAGAGAGAGAAUUGGCACACAGAAAGACACUUAGAGAGAGAAACAUGCGUGCACAUACAGACAGACACAGUGAAAGGUGUUGCCAUAAAAAUUCAAGAUACGCUUUGUCCUUUUUGAUGUCCGCUUAUUUGUUUCUGAUGUGUGUGUCUUUAGUGCUUUAUGUGAGAAACUGUUAAAGAAUAAAAAAUCAGAGUGAA